rnacentral:misc_RNA from 1 species
CACACCACGAAAGUCGGUAACACCCGAAGCCGGUGGCCUAACCGUAAGGAAGGAGCCGUCGAAGGUGGGAUCGGUGAUUGGGGUGAAGUCGUAACAAGGUGACCGUACCGGAAGGUGCGGUCGGAUCACCUCCUUUCUAAGGAGUGUCUUCCUGAUCGUUCAUCCACAUUUGUGGGUGCGUGAAGGACACACCUGUUGGUGCACUGUUGUGUUAGUCAAACAUUCGAUGUGGUUGAGGUUUACUUCCCACGUCGCGUGAAUGGCGGCAUUGUCUUCUCUUCUGUUUUGAGGGAGUUUCUCCCUCUACGAACAUCACGUAAGUGAUGUUCCUCUGUCUGAUCAACGAGAGUUGAUAUCGCCACUCUGGUCGCGAUAUCCCUGGUUGAUUAGCCCCUUGAGAACUGCAGAGCAAGCACGAGCAUCUUAUUUUUAUAUAUAAAGCUACAAAGAGCCAACGGUGGAUGCCUUGGCACCAAGAACCGAUGAAGGACGUGGGCGACUGCGAAAAGCCACGGGUAGCUGUCUACCUAGCGUUGAUCCGUGGAUAU